AAUACAUUUUUACAAUACUGUGAACAAACCAGAGUGUAUAAAACAUGUAAUAUAUUAUAUAUUUAGCAAUGAAUGUUUUAUCAUGGAAUAUUGCUUAUAAUAUUUUUUAUCGAUGGAGAUAGUUGGAGUUAAGAGUACUGAUAGGCGAGCGGUGAAAUGCAUUGACCCUAUUAAGACUAACAAAAGCGAAAGCACUUAACUAGAUUAUUCUCUUUGUAUUAUUACAAUGAAGAGCGAAGGUUGGGGGAACAAAGAGGAUCAGAUACCCUCGUAGUCCUAUUUUUACAUCAAACUAUGGGAUUUCAAUCACACUCCUUACUAACAUAAAAUAUAUAAUAUAUAAUAUAAUUGAGUCGUAAAUACAACUCUUAUAUUUAAUUAUUAUUUUUAUUAUUCAUUAUAUGUACUUUGAGCUCAUAUAAUUAUAUAGGUGAGAUGUAAGCAUUAUAGGUGAAUAAUAUAUAAGUAAUAUUAUAUUAUUAUGAUCCUUAUUUAUAAAAAUGUAAUGUGAUG
rnacentral:rRNA from 19 species